AGAUGCUAGAUGGUCUAAUGGGCCCUUUAACA
rnacentral:tRNA from 1 species